CCGCAAAUAUCCUUUUUAGGUUCUUACAAGAAUCUGGAUCAUAUCUGGAGAUCGGAGAAUGUCCAGUCCAGAUUUCAACAUAUAUGGGGUCAUUGAUUGAAAUAUCUGGGCAACUACAUCUCUGGGUUCUGGGGUAUUUUACACAGUGAUGGUUUCUUCCUUCAAAGACAAAUUUCUUUAGUAGAUUAUAACAAUUUCAGUGUUAUCUGAGUUUGACUGAUGCUGAAUUCUCAGGGGGUUUUACUCAUUUUGCUAUAUCCAUUUCUACAGGAGUCUAUAGCUAUGCUAGAAGCUAGCUGUGACGGUCACUGUAAAGAAAAUAAAACUGGAGAAAGAAGAAAAAGGAGACUGUGCUUAAUUUAUGCUAUUUAUUUAGUUCUGGAAGUUUACACUCCAUCAAUUCCAGCUAAAGUUACAUACAACGACGUUAGCAAAAUUCAUUGAUUAUCAAAAGGGAUAUCUUGUAAAAGUAAAGUACAUUAACAAUAAAGCAUAAAUGUAACCACUGUGUCGUUGCUAGCGGCUAGCAGCUAGCUAAGUACACGGGUAGCUUGUCCACGAUUUACUCCCCCGACUGACCUCCUCUCUUAUUACUCCCCCGUCUCUCUUAUUACUCCCCCGUCUCUCGUAUUACUCCCCCGUCUCUCUUAUUACUCCCCCGUCUCUCGUAUUACUCCCCCGUCGCUUCGACACCAAGUGAGGGAGCGCAGAGCCGGUGAACUGACAACAGCUCCAACAGUUUAACAUUUACGUGAUACAGUUAACUCCAUAACAAAAGGAGCUAGCACUCAUGGCUAACCUCACAACAGUGUGGAAGAUGGGCGCGGUAAACGGUCAAAACAUCACCUGAGAACAGAAAACCAUAUCGUACCGUAAAGUGCAGUUUGUGGGGAAGCUAAUUAGCUAAUUAUCCGAGCAAACGUUUACAGCAGCUCACCACUGGUCUGACUGAACAACAGCGCUCUGAUCAACCAUUUCAUGCCCGGACAGUUUAAUCAGAAGAGGAACCUGGAGGCAGGUGCAGCGUCUCAUUCCAGGUGAGAUGAGGAUUCACUGAAGCAGGAGAGAGGAGAACAGUCCCAUUAAUAAUUAAAGACCAUCCAAGAGAGGAGCAGGAGAAGCAGGAGAUACGGCGACCUCCCUCUCUCCUUCAGAUGAAGGAGAGAGGGAGGUCUCUAAGGACGAAUCAUGAUCCUUCGGCCUGAACUUAAUGGGAUCACACACAAAACACCUUAAGUCCAGCAUCACCACACUUAAAAGCUGAUGUGGACCGAGGACAGAGGACGCUGCCACAGAGACACUGGCUCAGGUUCUGAGGUAUCGGGUCUUUGAUCGUCUUCAGACUGAGACCUCAGCUGUUCCUGUGGUUCCAGAUCUGAGGAGAAGCUCCAUUAACAGCAGCAGCUGCCAGUGUGUGUGGAGGGGAGAAUGUCUCUUACUGUGUUACAUUAUUUCUUUUGUUAUUCUUUCAUUAAUAUAAUUUGUGUUUGUUCUGCUAAUCUAAAUUAUGUUGUAAUUUCACUGAUGACAUCAUCUUAAUCAGCUGUUGCUGUGUCUCAUGUUUGAUUUUCAGUGUCUUCUGUAACUUUUGUAAAUGUGACCAGAAGAACCUGAACCUUGUAGUUUCCAUGUUUAACACACCAACAGUGACAUGUUUAAUAAAGCACCAGCACAGUGACUACCUGCCCCCCCCCCCCCCCCCCCCCCCCAGAGCAGGCUCCACCCUCCUGACUCCAUGACAGUCUUGAACCUCGACCACAGACUUUCACCAGAUGCCUCAUGGAAAACUCAGAGAGGAAGCUGAGCUCUGUGGUCGAGGCAGAUGAUUGGAUAAACACACGGUGAAGCCUCAGAACGGCUCACUCAGUUCCCGUGGUGAUCUGACGGGGGGGGGGGGGGUCUGAAAAGCACAUACUGUUCCUGAGUUUAACAGAAGACUGAAGAGCAGCAGCAGCAACAUCCUCCAUCAGUUUGCCUAACAUCCCCCCCCCCCAUUUCAGUCCUCAGAGAGAAGGUGAGAACGUCACCACCUUUAACCUGAGUGCCCCCCCCCCACACACACACACAUAUACAAACACACACAUUACAGAAUAAACAGCUGAAAACGUGACAAUACAUUUCCUUCCAAUAAAUCUGAUCAUGACCUGAUGGACAAAGUUAGAGAAGCAGAAGAAGAAGAAGCAGGAGAAGAAGAAGCAGGUCUGUUAUUAGACUUUAUCUCAGCAGACAGACUCACUGUGUUUUUGUGGAAGUAAUUUAGAAAAAUUCAGUGAGGAAACUUUCCGUUUUUUAAUUAUUAGUUAACCCUGACCCUCAAACUGGAUUUUCAGCAGUCUGGACUGAAAUUCUUCUUUUGUCUCCGUCACAUUAAAAUAAACUUAUCAGUUUUCCUCUAUCAGUUCCUCAUCAUCUCUUCUUCUUCUGUCACUCUGUUGAGCUCAUUUGCAUGUGAUUAUCCUCCGUCUGUGAGACGAUGUGGAAUUAUUUACACCGUGAAAAGGAAGAGAAAGAAUCUGUCUUCCAUGAGGGGGAGGAGUUUGAAAUGCAAAUCAUAAAAGUAAUUACUACUGUUGGGGGGGGGGGGGGGGGGGGCACAGCAACAACUCAGCCCUCUAUGCAUUGCUAAUAGCAUCAUCCAGAAUAAAUAUGAUGGAACGUUAUUUUUAUUUAUCCACAAAA